GAUGAACGCUGGCGGCGUGCCUAAUACAUGCCAGUCGAGCGAACAGACGAGGAGCUUGUUCCUCUGACGUUAGCGGCGGACGGGUGAGUAACACGUGGAUAACCUACCUAUAAGACUGGGAUAACUUCGGGAAACCGGAGCUAAUACCGGAUAAUAUAUUGAACCGCAUGGUUCAAUAGUGAAAGACGGUUUUGCUGUCACUAAUAGAUGGAUCCGCGGCGCAUUAGCUAGUUGGUAAGGUAACGGCUUACCAAGGCAACGAUGCGUAGCCGACCUGAGAGGGUGAUCGGCCACACUGGAACUGAGACACGGUCCAGACUCCUACGGGAGGCAGCAGUAGGGAAUCUUCCGCAAUGGGCGAAAGCCUGACGGAGCAACGCCGCGUGAGUGAUGAAGGUCUUCGGAUCGUAAAACUCUGUUAUUAGGGAAGAACAAAUGUGUAAGUAAAUAUGCACGUCUUGACGGUACCUAAUCAGAAAGCCACGGCUAACUACGUG
rnacentral:rRNA from 1 species